AUGUUUUUCACCAGAUUUCGUUUCACCAUCUCAUAUAGACCAGGUUCCCGUAACGCUAAGGCCGACGCACUGUCCCGUCUCUAUGAUACCGAGGAGCGGUCCAUCAAGCCCACCCCCUUACUUCCGGCCUCUUGUCUGGUGGUACCGGUGGUAUGGGAGGUGGAUGCGAACAUCGAGCGGGCGUCACAGUUAGAACCUACUCCACCACAGUGUCCAGUUGGUCGGAGGUACGUCCCGCUUGGUGUUCGCGACAGAUUGAUCAGGUGGGCCCACACGCUACCCUCUUCUGGUCAUCCGGCGAUUGAUAGGAUGGUGCGGGGUCUUAGGGGGAAGUACUGGUGGCCCACCUUGGCCAAGGACGUGAGGGUUUAUGGCUCAACCUGUUCAGUGUACGCCCAGUGUAAGGAUCCUAGACACCUGCCUAGAGGGAAAUUACAGCCCCUCCCCGUUCCACAGCGGCCUUGGUCACACCUGUCGGUGGACUUCCUCAUCGAUCUUCCUCCGUCACAGGGGAACACCACGAUCCUGGUUGUUGUGGAUCGGUUUUCUAAGCCCUGCCGUCUCCUCCCUUUGCCCGGUCUCACUACGGCCCUACAGACUGCAGAGGCCCUGUUUACACACGUCUUCCGGCACUACGGGGUGGCUGAGGACAUAGUUUAUGAUCGGGGUCCCCAGUUCACUUCCCGAGUUUGGAGGGCAUUCAUGGAGAAUCUGGGGGUCUCAAUCAGCCUGACCUCGGGUUUUCACCCCGAGAGUAAUGGGCAGGUGGAGAGAGUUAACCUGGAUGUGAGUAGGUUUCUGCGGUCGUAUUGCCAGGACCGGCCAGGAGAGUGGGUGAGGUUCGUCCCAUGGGGUGAGAUGGCCCAAAAUUCACUCCGCCACUCCUCCACGAAUCUGUCGCAGUUUCAGUGCAUGUUGGGCUAUCAGCCGGUCCUGGUACCGUGGCAUCAGAGUCAGACCGAGGCUCUUGCGGUGGAGGAAUGGGUGCAGCGCUCAAAGGAGACCUGGAGAGCCAUCCAGGAAUCCCUGAAACGGGCCAGUGGGCGGCAGGAGGCGGCGGCAGGGUAG
rnacentral:lncRNA from 13 species